UACGUAGGGUGCGAGCGUUGUCCGGAAUUAUUGGGCGUAAAGAGCUUGUAGGCGGUUUGUCGCGUCUGCUGUGAAAAUCCGGGGCUCAACCCCGGACUUGCAGUGGGUACGGGCAGACUGGAGUGUGGUAGGGGAGACUGGAAUUCCUGGUGUAGCGGUGGAAUGCGCAGAUAUCAGGAGGAACACCGAUGGCGAAGGCGGGUCUCUGGGCCACUACUGACGCUGAGGAGCGAGAGCGUGGGGAGCAAACAGG
rnacentral:rRNA from 1 species